CCCUUAGAGUUUGAUCCUGGCUCAGAAUGAACGUUGGCGGCGUGGAUUAGGCAUGCAAGUCGAACGAAUCCCAGUCCCUCACCCUGCCCUGUGAAUCGGCGAGCCGCUUCGCGUGAGCGAGCGGGUGGCGGUUCUCAGGUCGCGGUGAGGGGCUGGGGGAAGUGGCGAAAGGGGCAGUAAGGCGUGGGUAACCUACCCCGGGGACCGGGAUAGCCCUCCUAACGGAGGGGUAAUACCGGGCGAUGUGGCGAGAAGGCAUCUUCCUGCCACGAAACGAAUCUCGCCUCGGGAGGGGCUCACGUAGUAUUAGCUCGUUGGCGGGGUAACGGCCCACCAAGGCUGAGAUGCUUAGCGGGUGUGAGAGCACGACCCGCGCCACUGGCACUGCGACACUGGCCAGACUCCUACGGGAGGCUGCAGUCGAGGAUCUUCGGCAAUGGGCGCAAGCCUGACCGAGCGACGCCGCGUGCGCGAUGAAGGCCUUCGGGUUGUAAAGCGCUGUCGAGGGGGAGGAAACCCGCAAGGGCUGACCGACCCCUGGAGGAAGCACGGGCUAAGUUCGUGCCAGCAGCCGCGGUAAGACGAACCGUGCGAACGUUAUUCGGAUUCACUGGGCUUAAAGGGCGCGUAGGCGGGCGAUCAAGUCCGGGGUGAAAUCUUUCGGCUUAACCGGA
rnacentral:rRNA from 1 species